GGAAUUCCCCCUGAGUUAUAUCCUCAUAGGGAUGAGUCUUGUUUCAUCGUGCCUCUCUAGUUUGUUCCUAAAUUGGCUUCUCGUGAUUUUUCCCUGCGCUUCCCCGUAGUUUAGAUGAAUGAUUUCUCAGUAACCAGUAAUUGUCCAUCUUUUCCCCGACGGAGUCUGUGACCUUUUACCCUCGUAUCGGUAGUUAUAAGUCCUAUUUCUG
rnacentral:lncRNA from 1 species